rnacentral:tRNA from 1 species
AUUUUAUUAGUAUAUAAAGUACAUCUAAUUUCCAAUUAGAAAGAUUUUCCUAAAAUAAAAU